rnacentral:rRNA from 1 species
GCUGGCGGUGCGCCUUAUGCAUGCAGUCGAGCGAAGCUUUUAGUAGUUUACUACAGAAAAUGACUGAGCGGCGAACGGGUGAGUAACGCGUGAGCAAUCUACCUUAGUUACAGGGAUAGCCCGAGGAAACUCGGAUUAAUACCUGAUAUUCUUUAUUUCUCGCAUGAGAAUAAAAGGAAAGGUCAGCCGAACUAAGAUGAGCUCGCGUUCUAUCAGCUAGUUGGUGAGGUAAAAGCUUACCAAGGCUACGACGGAUAGCUGGUCUGAGAGGACGAUCAGCCACACUGGGACUGAGACACGGCCCAGACUCCUACGGGAGGCUGCAGCAGGGAAUAUUGUGCAAUGAACGAAAGUUUGACACAGCGACACCGCGUGUGGGAUGACGGAUCUAGGUUUGUAAACCACUUUCAGGAGGGAAGAAAAUGACGGUACCUCCACAAGAAGCCCCGGCCAACUACGUGCCAGCAGCCGCGGUAAUACGUAGGGGGCGAGCGUUGUCCGGAUUUAUUGGGCGUAAAGAGCUCGUAGGCGG